GCACAGAGUUAGCCGGUGCUUAUUCUGCAGCUAAUGUCAUCGUCCAUGGGUAUUAACCAUGGAGUCUUCUUCACUGCUUAAAGUGCUUUACAAUCCGAAGACCUUCUUCACACACGCGGCAUGGCUGCAUCAGGGUUUCCCCCAUUGUGCAAUAUUCCCCA
rnacentral:rRNA from 1 species